GGGUUGUGAGGUUAAGCGACUAAGCGUACACGGUGGAUGCCCUGGCAGUCAGAGGCGAUGAAGGACGUGCUAAUCUGCGAUAAGCGUCGGUAAGGUGAUAUGAACCGUUAUAACCGGCGAUUUCCGAAUGGGGAAACCCAGUGUGUUUCGACACACUAUCAUUAACUGAAUCCAUAGGUUAAUGAGGCGAACCGGGGGAACUGAAACAUCUAAGUACCCCGAGGAAAAGAAAUCAACCGAGAUUCCCCCAGUAGCGGCGAGCGAACGGGGAGCAGCCCAGAGCCUGAAUCAGUGUGUGUGUUAGUGGAAGCGUCUGGAAAGGCGCGCGAUACAGGGUGACAGCCCCGUACACAAAAAUGCACAUGCUGUGAGCUCGAUGAGUAGGGCGGGACACGUGGUAUCCUGUCUGAAUAUGGGGGGACCAUCCUCCAAGGCUAAAUACUCCUGACUGACCGAUAGUGAACCAGUACCGUGAGGGAAAGGCGAAAAGAACCCCGGCGAGGGGAGUGAAAAAGAACCUGAAACCGUGUACGUACAAGCAGUGGGAGCCUCUUUAUGGGGUGACUGCGUACCUUUUGUAUAAUGGGUCAGCGACUUAUAUUCUGUAGCAAGGUUAACCGAAUAGGGGAGCCGAAGGGAAACCGAGUCUUAACUGGGCGUUAAGUUGCAGGGUAUAGACCCGAAACCCGGUGAUCUAGCCAUGGGCAGGUUGAAGGUUGGGUAACACUAACUGGAGGACCGAACCGACUAAUGUUGAAAAAUUAGCGGAUGACUUGUGGCUGGGGGUGAAAGGCCAAUCAAACCGGGAGAUAGCUGGUUCUCCCCGAAAGCUAUUUAGGUAGCGCCUCGUGAAUUCAUCUCCGGGGGUAGAGCACUGUUUCGGCAAGGGGGUCAUCCCGACUUACCAACCCGAUGCAAACUGCGAAUACCGGAGAAUGUUAUCACGGGAGACACACGGCGGGUGCUAACGUCCGUCGUGAAGAGGGAAACAACCCAGACCGCCAGCUAAGGUCCCAAAGUCAUGGUUAAGUGGGAAACGAUGUGGGAAGGCCCAGACAGCCAGGAUGUUGGCUUAGAAGCAGCCAUCAUUUAAAGAAAGCGUAAUAGCUCACUGGUCGAGUCGGCCUGCGCGGAAGAUGUAACGGGGCUAAACCAUGCACCGAAGCUGCGGCAGCGACGCUGAUGCGUUGUUGGGUAGGGGAGCGUUCUGUAAGCCUGCGAAGGUGUGCUGUGAGGCAUGCUGGAGGUAUCAGAAGUGCGAAUGCUGACAUAAGUAACGAUAAAGCGGGUGAAAAGCCCGCUCGCCGGAAGACCAAGGGUUCCUGUCCAACGUUAAUCGGGGCAGGGUGAGUCGACCCCUAAGGCGAGGCCGAAAGGCGUAGUCGAUGGGAAACAGGUUAAUAUUCCUGUACUUGGUGUUACUGCGAAGGGGGGACGGAGAAGGCUAUGUUGGCCGGGCGACGGUUGUCCCGGUUUAAGCGUGUAGGCUGGUUUUCCAGGCAAAUCCGGAAAAUCAAGGCUGAGGCGUGAUGACGAGGCACUACGGUGCUGAAGCAACAAAUGCCCUGCUUCCAGGAAAAGCCUCUAAGCAUCAGGUAACAUCAAAUCGUACCCCAAACCGACACAGGUGGUCAGGUAGAGAAUACCAAGGCGCUUGAGAGAACUCGGGUGAAGGAACUAGGCAAAAUGGUGCCGUAACUUCGGGAGAAGGCACGCUGAUAUGUAGGUGAAGCGACUUGCUCGUGGAGCUGAAAUCAGUCGAAGAUACCAGCUGGCUGCAACUGUUUAUUAAAAACACAGCACUGUGCAAACACGAAAGUGGACGUAUACGGUGUGACGCCUGCCCGGUGCCGGAAGGUUAAUUGAUGGGGUUAGCGGUAACGCGAAGCUCUUGAUCGAAGCCCCGGUAAACGGCGGCCGUAACUAUAACGGUCCUAAGGUAGCGAAAUUCCUUGUCGGGUAAGUUCCGACCUGCACGAAUGGCGUAAUGAUGGCCAGGCUGUCUCCACCCGAGACUCAGUGAAAUUGAACUCGCUGUGAAGAUGCAGUGUACCCGCGGCAAGACGGAAAGACCCCGUGAACCUUUACUAUAGCUUGACACUGAACAUUGAGCCUUGAUGUGUAGGAUAGGUGGGAGGCUUUGAAGUGUGGACGCCAGUCUGCAUGGAGCCGACCUUGAAAUACCACCCUUUAAUGUUUGAUGUUCUAACGUUGACCCGUAAUCCGGGUUGCGGACAGUGUCUGGUGGGUAGUUUGACUGGGGCGGUCUCCUCCUAAAGAGUAACGGAGGAGCACGAAGGUUGGCUAAUCCUGGUCGGACAUCAGGAGGUUAGUGCAAUGGCAUAAGCCAGCUUGACUGCGAGCGUGACGGCGCGAGCAGGUGCGAAAGCAGGUCAUAGUGAUCCGGUGGUUCUGAAUGGAAGGGCCAUCGCUCAACGGAUAAAAGGUACUCCGGGGAUAACAGGCUGAUACCGCCCAAGAGUUCAUAUCGACGGCGGUGUUUGGCACCUCGAUGUCGGCUCAUCACAUCCUGGGGCUGAAGUAGGUCCCAAGGGUAUGGCUGUUCGCCAUUUAAAGUGGUACGCGAGCUGGGUUUAGAACGUCGUGAGACAGUUCGGUCCCUAUCUGCCGUGGGCGCUGGAGAACUGAGGGGGGCUGCUCCUAGUACGAGAGGACCGGAGUGGACGCAUCACUGGUGUUCGGGUUGUCAUGCCAAUGGCACUGCCCGGUAGCUAAAUGCGGAAGAGAUAAGUGCUGAAAGCAUCUAAGCACGAAACUUGCCCCGAGAUGAGUUCUCCCUGACCCUUUAAGGGUCCUGAAGGAACGUUGAAGACGACGACGUUGAUAGGCCGGGUGUGUAAGCGCAGCGAUGCGUUGAGCUAACCGGUACUAAUGAACCGUGAGGCUUAACCUUACAACGCCGAAG
rnacentral:rRNA from 1 species